UAAGUCUCUGACCCAAAUCCAGUGGUGG
rnacentral:piRNA from 1 species